UUGCAUAUUGAUCAGAUGCUUCAGUGCUCUGAGAGUGUUUAUAGUGCUGUGAGUUUAACACUUCAUCACUGACACACACAACAAUCUUCAUCAACAUGACCUUCAUCAUCAUCUUCAUCUGGACUCUCACAGCGUUUGCUCAAGAGUGUAGAGGACAGAUCACCGUCACUCAGAGUCCCUCAAUGACAGCAGCUCAACCAGGAGAAACAGUCAAAAUCAACUGUAGAACCAGCAGUGAUGUGUAUUAUUAUAGGUCUGUGGGACAUUAUUUAGCUUGGUACCUACAGAAACCUGGAGAAGCUCCUAAACUCCUGAUUUAUGGUGCAAACACACUCCAGUCAGGAACUCCAUCUAGAUUCAGUGGCAGUGGAUCUAACAGUGAUUUCACUCUGACCAUCAGUGGAGUCCAGACUGAAGAUGCUGGACAUUAUUACUGUCAGAGUGUCCACUGUCCUAGUAGCUGUGUGUUCACACAGUGAUAAAGAGUCGUACAAAAACCUCCGUCAGUCAGAGUCACAGUGACUGAACUGAUUCUGCAGCUGCUCAAAGGAGGAUCUGAAAUAACUCUGUUGUUUUUCUCCCUCUUUUGUCUCAUAUUCUUACACUCUGUAGGGAGACGAGUAAUGCUGGAAACUGGUUUUAAUUUGA